UCUCCUGGAAACGGGUGGUAAUGCCGGAUGUUCCACAUGAUCGCAUGUGAUUGUGGGAAAGAUUCUAUCGGCGUGGGAUGGGGUCGCGUCCUAUCAGCUUGUUGGUGAGGUAACGGCUCACCAAGGCUUCGACGGGUAGCCGGCCUGAGAGGGCGACCGGCCACAUUGGGACUGAGAUACGGCCCAGACUCCUACGGGAGGCAGCAGUGGGGAAUAUUGCACAAUGGGCGCAAGCCUGAUGCAGCGACGCCGCGUGAGGGAUGGAGGCCUUCGGGUUGUAAACCUCUUUUGUUUGGGAGCAAGCCUUCGGGUGAGUGUACCUUUCGAAUAAGCGCCGGCUAACUACGUGCCAGCAGCCGCGGUAAUACGUAGGGCGCAAGCGUUAUCCGGAUUUAUUGGGCGUAAAGGGCUCGUAGGCGGCUCGUCGCGUCCGGUGUGAAAGUCCAUCGCUUAACGGUGGAUCUGCGCCGGGUACGGGCGGGCUGGAGUGCGGUAGGGGAGACUGGAAUUCCCGGUGUAACGGUGGAAUGUGUAGAUAUCGGAAA
rnacentral:rRNA from 1 species